CAAAUCCGGUUGUUAGUGUUGUUACACCAUUAAACGUUUUGUGCUGGCAAAAUGGACCGUGAGCGGUCUUAGCCGUCCUUAUAGUGACACUACAAAGAAAAAAAAAACGUUUUGUGCUAGUUACUGAAAUCUAAACUGAAAUAAGACACUAAAGGGACAUCAGAAUAUAGAUAUGCCUAAGCAGAGCAAUCGUAAAAUUAGAAUUAUCCGACAACAACCGGAUCUUGCACCAAAAUCUUCUGCCACAGCGUCUACGGUUCGUCGGAUAGGUAUCAAAAUAGGUUGUCCAAACCCAUUGUUCGAGCGGUGGCUACAGGAAAUGUUACUGAAAGCAGAGGAAAAGGAAUCGAUGAGCCGAAUCCCAUUGCAAAAGGCACUGGCUUCAUUGCGACGGUAUCCGCUUCCGAUUGCUUCCGGUCGAGAUUGUUUCAUGCUAGCCGAUUUCGGCAAAACUAUUUGCGAAGCGUUGGAUAAACGAUGUAAGACCUAUGUACAAAAUAGUGGAGAGGUCGUGACGAUUUCGACGCAUGACCGACAAAUCGAACGAAUGUUGAAUGAUCAGGAACUGGAAUUUUAUCGGAAUCUGGCUGGAGAGAUGCCCGAUGAAGGUGAAGAAGAAAAACAACCAAAAGCAGAACAGUUUGAAAUACUAGAUGAUUCUAUAUUCGAAAAUUUGCAAGUUAUUGAUCAACAGUACGUGACGAUAUCGAACCCGAAGGUAAUUCUGCUGGUGGACACCCAGGAAACGAUAGGCAAGUCAAGAAGUAAUCUCGAUCGAACGUUAAAGGAACUCGAUCAGUAUCAGGUGGAGUACGCGGUUCGACGUCUCGGUGUUGGCGAUUUUUUGUGGAUUGUAAAGGACGACAGUGGUAGAGAAUUUAUUCUUCCUUAUGUAGUGGAGCGGAAACGAAUGGACGAUUUCGCCAGUAGCAUCAAAGAUGGUCGGUUUCACGAGCAAAAGUUCCGAUUGAAACAAUGCGGGCUUGCCAAUGUAAUCUAUUUGAUUGAACAUUUGGGCAAUAAUCGCCAAGUGGGAGUACCGGCCAGUACACUUUCGCAGGCUGCUUUGAAUACGCUCGUGCAAGAUUUCAUCGUAAAAUACACAGAAAAUCAUCAACACACGGUGCUGUAUCUGUCUGUUAUGACAAAGCUUUUGAACAAGAAUAUGAAGGAUAAAUCGUUUUGGAACAUCACUAUGUUACCUCAAGAAACGAUAAAAGCUAUGGCAACUAAUUUUAGUUUAAAGCAACGUACAAUUCCAUUGAUUUUGUUCGAAAUUUUCAACAAACAAUCGUCUAAAAAUCGCGAUUGUACUGUUAGAGAAAUAUUCAUGAAACAGUUACUUCAAAUCAAAUUACUGACAAUCGAAAAAGUCAAUGCGAUCGUAGAGCGAUAUCCUACUGCGAAGAAACUCUAUCUUGCCUAUGAGAAGUGUACUAGCGAGGAGGAGAAGGAGCGCUUGUUAAAUUUGCCUUAUGGACCAGCAAAACGGACUAUCGGAUUGAAGUUGAGUAAAGUCAUAUAUCAGCUAUUUGCGAGUGAUGUCUAUCAACGUUGAGAUCCCAUAAGACGAGACGAGAAGGAUGUCGGCUGCAUAUUUAGAUUCACGGCGAGGAACGAUUCUACUACGGGUGGUCACGUGCACAGGAGGGAUUGUCAAGGACAUCAAGGAAAACAUCACUUUUCACUUAUGCCAUUUUCUGUGAUCUACGCUAGCAUGUAUAUGUAUGUAUUUGCGUGUACCUCUCGAGUGAUUUGCAUCUCACAGGGA